rnacentral:rRNA from 1 species
CAGCCGCCGCGGGAAUACGAGGGGGGCAAGCGUUGUUCGGAAUUAUUGGGCGUAAAGGGUGCGUAGGCGGUUUGGCAAGUUUGGUGUGAAAUCUUCGGGCUCAACUCGAAGUCUGCAUCGAAAACUGCCGGGCUUGAGUAUGGGAGAGGUGAGUGGAAUUUCCGGUGUAGCGGUGAAAUGCGUAGAUAUCGGAAGGAACACCUGUGGCGAAAGCGGCUCACUGGACCAUAACUGACGCUGAUGCACGAAAGCUAGGGGAGCAAACAGGAUUAGAUACCCCCGUAGUCCCUGUCUCUUAUAC